UACGAAGGGGGCUAGCGUUGCUCGGAUUGACUGGGCGUAAAGGGCGCGUAGGCGGUUCGUACAGUCAGACGUGAAAUUCCUGGGCUCAACCUGGGGGCUGCGUUUGAUACUGGAUGGCUUGAAUUCGGGAGAGGGAUGCGGAAUUCCAGGUGUAGCGGUGAAAUGCGUAGAUAUCGGGAAGAACACCCGUGGCGAAGGCGGCUCUCUGGGACGGUACUGACGCUGAGACGCGAAAGCGUGGGGAGCGAACAGG
rnacentral:rRNA from 1 species